GGUGUAGUUCAGUGGUACAGCAUCUGCUUUGCAUGCAGGAGGUCCCAGGUUCAGCCCCCAGUGGCAUCU